rnacentral:rRNA from 1 species
GGUUAAGUGACUAAGCGUACACGGUGGAUGCCUAGGCAGUCAGAGGCGAUGAAGGGCGUGCUAAUCUGCGAAAAGCGUCGGUAAGGUGAUAUGAACCGUUAUAACCGGCGAUACCCGAAUGGGGAAACCCAGUGUGUUUCGACACACUAUCAUGUCAUGAAUACAUAGUGGCAUGAGGCGAACCGGGGGAACUGAAACAUCUAAGUACCCCGAGGAAAAGAAAUCAACCGAGAUUCCCCCAGUAGCGGCGAGCGAACGGGGAGGAGCCCAGAACCUGAAUCGGCUUGUGUGUUAGUGGAAGCGUCUGGAAAGUCGCGCAGCAAAGGGUGAUAGCCCCGUACACUAAAAUGCACAGGUCGUGAGUUCGAUGAGUAGGGCGGGACACGUGACAUCCUGUCUGAAUAUGGGGGGACCAUCCUCCAAGGCUAAAUACUCCUGACUGACCGAUAGUGAACCAGUACCGUGAGGGAAAGGCGAAAAGAACCCCGGCGAGGGGAGUGAAAUAGAACCUGAAACCGUGUACGUACAAGCAGUGGGAGCACCUUCGUGGUGUGACUGCGUACCUUUUGUAUAAUGGGUCAGCGACUUAUAUUUUGUAGCAAGGUUAACCGUAUAGGGGAGCCGUAGGGAAACCGAGUCUUAACUGGGCGAUUAGUUGCAAGGUAUAGACCCGAAACCCGGUGAUCUAGCCAUGGGCAGGUUGAAGGUUGGGUAACACUAACUGGAGGACCGAACCGACUAAUGUUGAAAAAUUAGCGGAUGACUUGUGGCUGGGGGUGAAAGGCCAAUCAAACCGGGAGAUAGCUGGUUCUCCCCGAAAGCUAUUUAGGUAGCGCCUCGUGAACUCAUCUUCGGGGGUAGAGCACUGUUUCGGCUAGGGGGCCAUCCCGGCUUACCAAACCGAUGCAAACUCCGAAUACCGAAGAAUGUUAUCACGGGAGACACACGGCGGGUGCUAACGUCCGUCGUGAAGAGGGAAACAACCCAGACCGCCAGCUAAGGUCCCAAAGUCAUGGUUAAGUGGGAAACGAUGUGGGAAGGCACAGACAGCCAGGAUGUUGGCUUAGAAGCAGCCAUCAUUUAAAGAAAGCGUAAUAGCUCACUGGUCGAGUCGGCCUGCGCGGAAGAUGUAACGGGGCUAAACCAUGCACCGAAGCUGCGGCAGCGACGCUUAGGCGUUGUUGGGUAGGGGAGCGUUCUGUAAGCCGUUGAAGGUGGCCUGUGAGGGUUGCUGGAGGUAUCAGAAGUGCGAAUGCUGACAUAAGUAACGAUAAAGCGGGUGAAAAGCCCGCUCGCCGGAAGACCAAGGGUUCCUGUCCAACGUUAAUCGGGGCAGGGUGAGUCGACCCCUAAGGCGAGGCUGAAAAGCGUAGUCGAUGGGAAACAGGUUAAUAUUCCUGUACUUGGUGUUACUGCGAAGGGGGGACGGAGAAGGCUAGGCU